UUGUUGGAUGAAAAUAAUAUUUUAUUGGAUGUUAUGGGUGAGUUUUAGGGAUGGAAAUGGAUGAAAUUGUAUUUGUUUGAGAUUUCCACUUUCAUUUCCAUUUCCAUGUUUUUAGGAAAUAACCAAACAGACCCUUAUCUGAAAAAUACAGUUGCAGUUAACUGAAAUCUUUUUUGCAACUGUACGGGCAUCUCAAUCAUGAUACUCCUUUGAUUUGAACUCACCUCUAAUUGAUUUGGUAAGGUAGCAAAUUGCUGCAACCAAUUGUUAGGGAUGGGGAUUUACGUGGAUCUUCGAGGACCUGAACCAAAGCUGACCCGUUUCACCUGAAUUUGAUUCAAUACAUGAACUGUUUCAAGAUUCAUGCUUUUGAUAAUCUAAGCCCAAUUACUUUGGCAGGGCAGCUGAGCUGCAGCCACUUGUAAUUAGGGGUUUAAAUGUCCGAGACGAUCUUAAGCGAGUUGGUCCAUCGCUCAAGGCUAUUCAUCAUACACUAAAUUUGCAAUGGAAAUAUAUUCUCCAAAAUAAAAUUGUAAUGAUUCAAAUAAUGGAUUUGAAGUAGAUUUUGCAAGAAAUGCUAGCAUUUGUUACACUUUCUUUUUGCAGCAAACCAAACGGUCCCUACAUUGUUUAGAUGUCCAAUCUUUGCUGCUGGAGCUCUCCAACGAGGCGAUGAUGAUUUGCCGCCAAUCACCUCAAUGGUUUUGGUUAUUGGUUAACAUGUUAGCCUCAAGUCCCCAUAAAAUUUGAGGGUCAAAUAAGCAAUUUCAAUGAUUUGAGGGACUAAUAUGGAAUUUUUGAAGAUUUAGGGGACUAAUAUCUAAAAAUCCCUUCUUAGUUAUAUUUGUAAAAGUAAUUUGAUAAAAAGGGAUGAUGAUGAUGAAGGGUUUGUAGUGUUAAAGUUGUUUUUUUCAAUCCUCUCUAUUAGCAUUAUUCUUAUGAAUUUCUUAUGUAUCUUUCUUUCACUGCUAUGGCGAGGCAACACUGGAGGUCAGCUAUAUGCUAGGCAGCCGUUGCAGCCAUUCCUAGUACUUAACAAAGUAGGACCUCUUUGUGGGAUGAUUCCAUGUCCAUAAUUUUUUGAACUUAUUUUCCAACUACAACCUCAUAAAUGUACAUGUUAAUGAUGAAAUGGCAAAUCUGAGCCUUCUAUACUUUGAGCUCCCGUCAUUUCUUCAUGGUUAAUAUAACUCAUGUUAGAUGGGCGAGGAAUUUUGUCGAGGAUUGGCCCAAAGCGUGGGAGUUGAUGAUUUGGGUGAUGGGGAAUGAGAAGAGGUUUAACUUGGCUUGGAGUCUGGUGCAUAGGAUGCAUAGGAAGUCGCUGCUGACCGCGGAGACUAUGGUAGUUUUGAUGGACAGGUGGGUUCCUGCGGUUUAGGUGUUUGUGAUUUUGCCUCUUUUUUUAAUAAAGAUGUGAACUUUUCUGUAGGAUGCUGCACUUGAACUGCUUUUUCAUGUCAUGGAUAUUUUAUAAUUAGAAACGUGCGUAGCAUAUGCUUAUAAACAUUGCUUGUGACAUGUAUUGCUUUUUUGAGAUAUGAUCUUUUUUUUCAUUCCAAUAUUGAAGGUCAAUAAUAGACAAGGGUAUUGUGAUUAUCUUCUAUCAUGUGCAUAUAUUUUUAACUUUCAGUAUAACUAUAAUUAAUGAGAUGUGUAUUCAAAAUUGAUGUUUGAUAUGUAUGUUGGUAUUUUAUUAUAAUAACUGAAAAAUGAUUUAUUUUGUUAUACUUGAAGGAAUAAUUUUGAUGAGCAGUUCAUAUCCUCAUUUUCUUGUAUUUGUCAUGUUGGCACGCUUAUUAUGUUUCAAAUAUCUGUUUCAAAUAUCUAGGGUUUUGGAUUUGGUUAGCUUAUGUUUUUUUUUUGGGUUUUGUUGAGAUCUGGAGGUUGAUUGAGCCGAUUGAGACGUAUAAAGGGGAGGAUUCGCUUCAGCCGUGGAUUGAGUGAGCAUUUUGUUUGGAGUUAUGUUUUUUUAAUAGUUCUUUCAGGGCUGUAAACUAACAUUUUGAUUUAGGGGCCUUUUCUUGUUGUUGGUGGAUGAACCAGGCAGUUAUAAUGUUCUGAUGAAAAGAAACUUGAGAAAAAAAUGAUUUUUUUUUGCUAAAAUUAUAUCAUUUGUUUGUAUAAAUAGAGAAGUUUUUCAAUUGAGAAAAUUCAAAAUAUAACUUUUAUCACUAUAUAUGAGCUUGGAAUGUGACUAAUUUGUGAUCCUCCUUUUCCUCCACUUCUAUUUGCUAAUUAAACUGGGUCUUAAUAUGGGAAGAUUUUGUGUCAUAUUAUAUAUCAUGCUAAAUUGAUUGAAAAAUCUGAUCUUGCAAUGUCAGUUCUAAUUUAUUUCCAUAUAUUUCUUGCACAUUGUUUGAGAAUCAGGUUCAUGUGAACUUCGAUAACUCUUUCUUUUCCCUCCAUUUGGACAGUGCAAUAUUGUCUCUUUGCCAUCCAAAAUGAACCAAAAGGACGAGCAAGAAGAGGGCAUAGGAGAUUGGAUAUUAGAGAUAUCGCUGUACGACAUUGUAUUUACUGAAAUAUAUUUUGCCUUUAUGAAUUCCUGCAAACAAAUUGGACAGGAAUACCUUAGAUUUUUGUUGUUUCUGUUAAUGUACGUAUUCUUCUCAUAGUACUUGAUUACACUGUUCGAUAUUCUUGGUAUUUCAAUUUUUCUAUUGCACCACUAGUGGAGUGACUUGUCCAAACAUAUAAAGGUUGCUGCUUGCUUUCUUUAAGCAUUGACUUUUUUUGUUCGUGCAAAUAUUAUUGAAUCCAUAUUUGAAUAGAUAUUUGUUUAUGAGCAUGAAUCUGAAUUAGUUUGAGUGGAUCAUGAUUAGUGUAGAAGUUUAUGCUAUUAUUAAAUUCUGAUGUGAACUACAAAGGAGCUCCUCUUCUUCGUUUAAUAUUAUUUAGGCUUCAUGUUUGCAGAUGAUCAUGUAAUUGGGAUUGAAAGUAAGAGUGAUGCCAUCAAAAGAACUUGCCCAAACUACAAGAGGAACUGAUUGUUGCUGGCGAUGAAAAUGGAGAAAAUAGACGCGGAGGUAAAUAGACUGACCUUUUUUUGGAAUUAUUUAGUCUCUUUGUUUUUUGGUAGUCUUGAGUUAAUUUGUAUAUUUGUGAAAGUUCUUUGUUUCUCAUGCAAUUGUUGAUGCACCUGAGGUAAGUUCAUUUAAGAUUGCUCUUUUAGUUCAAAUUUGAUGUGAAAUGUAGUUGUAAUGGUAUAAAAAGCUAUCCUUGAAUUAUUAUUUUCAAGUUUAUCAAUUUUACUGGUAAAACUUUUCUACUCCUAGCCACUGUGAAUUUUUCGAGUGAUCGGGUGAAAUCUAGUGAUGGUGACAUAAGGAAUCUGCACAAACAACAAGAGGAACUUAUAAGCCUGAUCGAAGCAGACAGGCAACUUAUGUAUGCAGAGAAAGAGAUCAAUCAUGCCCCAAUGGUUUUAGAUAACUCUGAUCAUUAUGCUCUAUUGUUUCGAAAUACUUCGGUUUUUAAGAGGUAAGACAACUAAAUAUGGCUUUCUUGUGUCCCCCAUAUUAUUUUGUUCUUGUUGUGUUGUUAUUAUUUGAUGUGAAUGAUUAUUUUGUUUUAUGAUUUGAGUAGGGAUAUGCAGAGUUUUUCCAUAUAACAGAGUGUUUAAUGAUUUAAUAAUUUCAUUAUGGAUCUUUCGUACUCCAAUAUAUAUUUAUUUGGCUUCAUUUUUCUCUCUCUUUCCUCUUUUAAGAAAAUUAGAGAUUCGAGUAUUCUUUAAUUUUAUGAUACAGAAAUCAAGAAAUUUUUGUCCAUCCUCACUAUGUGAAAUUAUGAUGUUCUUAUGCAUAGUCCAUUUGGCCAUGAGUGAUAAAAUUCUACCAUUUUUUUGCAGCUAAUUGUCUCCAAUCUGAAUGGAUUUAGUUGCUAAUACUUAUGGAGUGCCCUAUAGAAUUUAGAGCUUUUUUCCUUCUCCUUUUUUUCUUCGACUUCUGUUGCAAUUUUUUCCCAAAAAAAAUCAUUUUAAUUAUGUCGUUUUUUUUCGUUAAUGCUUAGCAUCUUGUGUUAUUAUGAUUUAAGUUCUUUAAGAUUGUUGAUAUGUUUAUGAAGUGUGUAUGAAUGUUUUCGCGUUUUGUCCUAACUUAUUCUUCAUAUGACAAGCAUUAAGUGUCAAUUUUUUUAUGGAUUUUGACUAUUGACAAGAACAAAGAAGCUUGGUGGUGUUUGUGAUCAAAUCCCAACCUGGAGCUUGAAGUAGAUUAUGUGUUUCACGAAGAUCAAGUAGCUGCAUUCACAAUAUGCUUUUGAUGCAACUUAGCUUUGACAUUUUGCCUUUGCACAGCUGCCCUUAAAUUAUUGGAGCCUUGCUCGUCCUCUUUAUUUUGUCCAUCAAUAUCAUAAUUAGAUUUUGUUUUUAUCAUGUAGAUAAUUUUGUGAUGAAAUCUGAGCCUAACCAUUAAUAAAGAUAUGCAGAGUUGUUUUGAGAUACUGUCUUUGACUGGAUCAUUCGCAAUAACUAAAUACAAUGGUGUGCAUAGUCGAGUAGGUGGGAUCAUUGCCUCACUAGCUAGCCUUCUGAUGGCCUUGUGCUUGGUUUGUUUCUUGCAUCACUUCCUAUCCAGGUAAAUUAAACUCAUUCUUAUCCCUUGAAUUUUUAUGUUAACAUAUAAAGGUUGCUGCUUGCUUUCUUUAAGCAUUGACUUUUUUUGUUCAUGCAAAUAUUAUUGUAUCCAUAUUUGAAUAGAUAUUUGUUUAUGAACAUGAAUCUGAAUUAGUUUGCGUGGAUCAUGGUUAGUGUAGAAGUUUAUGCUAUUAUUGAAUUCUGAUGUGAACUACAAAGGAGCUCCUCUUCUUCGUUUAAUAUUAUUUGGUCUUCAUGUUUGCAGAUGAUCAUUUAGUUGGGAUCGAAAGUAAGAGUGAUGCCAUCAUCUCUGUUACUAGAUUUCUCCAGAAUGUUUUAAUUGUUAGUGCAGAAUCUUUGAGUAUGCAUUUUUCAUUCUCUACGCGUUAGGCGGGGUUUUUUUUGCUAGUAUUUAAUAUAUUUGCAGGUGAGGAUUCUGGGACUCUUCCCUACAAAAGCACAAACAAUAGGCUCCUAUUGUUGCAAAAUUUUCUGCGAUAGAAGAUUUUUUUUAAUUGAGCUACUUUUCAUUCCCUUUGGAGUCGAUGCAGAUUUAACAUGGGAUCCAACCAAGGAUUCCUGCUAUCAAUUUUUUAUGAAGGCAAAUUCACUUGGAGAUUGCACAAAUCAAGGAUCGGAUUCAAAAAGAUUCAAGUAUUGUGAAGAUUUAAAAUGUUAUUAAGAGUUUGAAACAAUUUUGAUUCGUUUUUAGUGAGAUAUGUAUGUUUUAGUUUUAUUUUAAAUAUUUUUUAUGGGUAUGUUAUUUUGUUAGUUUUAUUGUUCAGAUUAUUGUAAGCCUUUAGUAUAUAAGGGGCUGUUUGGUUCGUUAUUAUAAGGGGUGGAAAACUCAGAAAACCUCUCAACAUCA